rnacentral:misc_RNA from 1 species
UCUCCGUUGGUGAACCAGCGGAGGGAUCAUUAGAGAGUAUUACAACUCCCAAACCCAUGUGAACAUACCUAUCGUUGCCUCGGUGGAGGGGACGAGAUACCCAGUAAGUGGAUACCCGGGUUUAGCUACCCGGGACACCCAGGGACCCAUCUCUCCGCCGCUGGCCCACGAAACUCUGUUUUAUUUUGAAACUCUGAAUAGCAAAACAAAUAAGUUAAAACUUUCAACAACGGAUCUCUUGGUUCUGGCAUCGAUGAAGAACGCAGC